GUUCCUUGUACACUCAUUUAAACAGUGUCAUGGGCCACAUACUGAAUACUUGUUGACAGUUCUCAUGGACAAACUGCACUACGGGGGGAGAGAUGGAGAAGGAAAACAGAAUUGAUAAAUCUGAGGAGUCGAAUCGAUUUGUUUUCUAGUGAGCGACCUAUGAGGAAGAGAAACAAAGCCCUUUGAACAAUUCGGCAAAGCUGUACUAUCACCCCGGUCAGACUCUGGCUGUCUUUGAUUGGCUCAAGGGCUUCAGUCUAUCUGCUCAGGAUGAGAAGUUCACCGGGGUUGGUGGCAGUGAGGUGUCAGUGAUCAGCCAACCAGAGCAUCUGCUGCAGAGGUUCUGAAGAAGCAGUUAUGAGACAGAGGGGAGGGAACCGAGUGGCGAUGCUAUCGACAGACAUUUAAGAACCAAAAGGCAGGUCACACAACCUACGGACAUAAAGUGGAGCUGUCAUUGUCUCACCAUGGCGAUGACUGCAGCCCCAGCCCCGGCCAGGGCACAGACGAACAAGUGGAAUGUCAUGUCCAG